rnacentral:rRNA from 1 species
CCUACGGGCGGCAGCAGUGAGGAAUAUUGGUCAAUGGACGAGAGUCUGAACCAGCCAAGUAGCGUGAAGGAUGACUGCCCUAUGGGUUGUAAACUUCUUUUAUAUGGGAAUAAACUGUUCCACGUGUGGGAUUUUGUAUGUACCAUAUGAAUAAGGAUCGGCUAACUCCGUGCCAGCAGCCGCGGUAAUACGGAGGAUCCGAGUGUUAUCCGGAUUUAUUGGGUUUAAAGGGAGCGUAGGUGGAUUGUUAAGUCAGUUGUGAAAGUUUGCGGCUCAACCGUAAAAUUGCAGUUGAAACUGGCAGUCUUGAGUACAGUAGAGGUGGGCGGAAUUCGUGGUGUAGCGGUGAAAUGCUUAGAUAUCACGAAGAACUCCGAUUGCGAAGGCAGUUCACUGGACUGCAACUGACACUGAGGCUCGAAAGUGUGGGUAUCAAACAGGAUUAGAUACCCCUGUAGUC